CACGUAGGGGGCAAGCGUUGUCCGGAUUUAUUGGGCGUAAAGAGCUCGUAGGCGGUUCGGUAAGUCGGGUGUGAAACCUCCAGGCUCAACCUGGAGACGCCACCCGAUACUGCUGUGACUAGAGUCCGGUAGGGGAGCGUGGAAUUCCUGGUGUAGCGGUGAAAUGCGCAGAUAUCAGGAGGAACACCGGUGGCGAAGGCGGGUCUCUGGGCCGAUACUGACGCUGAGACGCGAAAGCGUGGGGAGCGAACAGG
rnacentral:rRNA from 1 species